CGGGUGGACAAUGUAUUUUGAAUGACUGUGAUGGUGACACAAACGCACACACACAGGUGGGUCUGGUUAGUUUUGCUCACACUUCUCUUUAAAAUGUUUAUUUAUUAUCCUAAUGUGUCUGCUAUUUAUCCUGUGGUUCCUCCAGGCUGAGAAAACCAGGCAUUCUUCUGUUGGUUCAUGUGCUUCUUCCUACAUCCACGGGCCACAAGAAGAAUCCAAAACGGCUCAUGUCAAACUGUGGACCAUGUUUUCAGAUAUGUGCAGAUAUAUGCAAGCCAGUGUUGAAGCCUUCCUCAUUGCCGUGGAACCAGGACAGCCCUUCCUCCUGCAUGUUGGUGAAAACAAGAGCAGCACCAAAGACACUUCACCAUCAGUGAUCACAAGAUCAUCCAAGGACUUGGUUUAUUACAGUCCCUGUGGCAAGCAGUUUUCUGCAUGGUCAGCAUUGAAGGCCAUAUUGUCUUUGAGAGGGUCCGCCAACAUUCCAGACAGGAC